CCUACGGGUGGCAGCAGUGGGGGAUAUUGCACAAUGGGGGGAACCCUGAUGCAGCGACGCCGCGUGGGUGAAGGAGCUUUUCGGCGCGUAAAGCCCUAUCGGCAGGGAAGCAGAAGGACGGUACCUGACUCAGACGCCCCGGCCAACUACGUGCCAGCAGCCUCGGUACUACGUAGGGGGCAAGCGUUAUCCGGAUUUACGGGGUGUAAAGGGGGCGCAGGCGGGAGCGCAAGCCAGGAGGGAAAGCCCGGGGCCCAACCCCGGGACUGCUCUUGGAGCUGGGCGGCUGGAGUGGAGGAGGGGCAGGCGGAAUGCCUGGUGUAGCGGUGAAAUGCGUAGAUAUCAGGAGGAACACCGGUGGCGAAGGCGGCCUGCUGGACUGCGACUGACGUUGAGGCCCGAAAGCGUGGGGAGCAAACAGGAUUAGAUACCCGUGUAGUC
rnacentral:rRNA from 1 species